rnacentral:rRNA from 1 species
UGGCGGCAGGCUUAACACAUGCAAGUCGAGCGGGGAAGAGUAGCUUGCUACUUUACCUAGCGGCGGACGGGUGAGUAAUGCUUAGGAAUCUGCCUAUUAGUGGGGGACAACAUCUCGAAAGGGAUGCUAAUACCGCAUACGUCCUACGGGAGAAAGCAGGGGACCUUCGGGCCUUGCGCUAAUAGAUGAGCCUAAGUCGGAUUAGCUAGUUGGUGGGGUAAAGGCCUACCAAGGCGACGAUCUGUAGCGGGUCUGAGAGGAUGAUCCGCCACACUGGGACUGAGACACGGCCCAGACUCCUACGGGAGGCAGCAGUGGGGAAUAUUGGACAAUGGGGGGAACCCUGAUCCAGCCAUGCCGCGUGUGUGAAGAACGCCUUUUGGUUGUAAAGCACUUUAAGCGAGGAGGAGGCUACCGAGAUUAAUACUCUUGGAUAGUGGACGUUACUCGCAGAAUAAGCACCGGCUAACUCUGUGCCAGC